rnacentral:lncRNA from 10 species
CUCAAAAACAAAACAAAAGACAGGGUCUCAUUCCUUCCUUUCCUGAAAGCCCCUUGCUCUGGAUGAAAAUCUGUCUCUACCCAGGGGAGAGUAGUCUGCCUCAGGAAACACGUAAUAGGUUCCUACACUCACGAUCUCUGCAUUGUUAAGCAGAGCAUUCAGUUAACUUCUUAGAACAGAGACUCUACUCCAAGGAAACCUUCUGCCUCUGUCUAUAUAAAGGCUAGCAGUUCAUCUUGAAAAUGCACACACUAUCUCAUUUAAAACUGUAAGUAAAUGCUACCAUCGUUCUCAGUUUGCAGAUGAAGAACCAGAGAUUCAAAGAGACGGGGUGGCUUGCCUGCAGCAUCACACCUAGCAGAUGGUCAGCCAGGACCAUCUAAUGCCAAAGCCUAAAGCUUGUACCUAAACCCACCUCCCCGUCAGCCCCGUGAAUCCACCAGAGAAUGGGCAGGCGCAGUGGCUCAAAGUGUAGUCCCAGCACUUUGGGAGGCCAAGGCAGGAGGAUCGUUUGAGCCCAGGAAUUUGAGACCGGCAUGGGCAACAUGGCGAGAACCCGUCUCUACAAAAAAAAAAAAAAAAAAAAAAAGCCAGGCAUGGUGGUGCACACCUGUGGUCCCAGGUACCCAGGAGAGGCUGAGGUGGGAGGAUUGCUUGAGCCCUGAGCCCAGGAGGUCAAGGCUGCAGUGAGCCAUGUUUGCACCACUGCACUCCAGCCUGGGAACACAGUGAGAACUUGUCUUAUAAAAAAAAUUUUUUUAAGAGGAAAGCUCAGAAUCUGAGCAAACAAUUUUAUUCUAACCAUGGGGAGAGAAAACUGAGGAUAAAACAGGGAGGGCCUGAAGAGGCUCUGGCUGAAGGUGCAGUGGAAAGAGGCAUUCAGAAGGGAUGAGACUAGAGUCCCUGAGGACACCACCUGGGCCCCCAACAAAGACGCCAGCAUCCCGCCCUCUUGCAGGGGAAUUGGGACUCAAGGCAACAAAAAGUCAGGAAGAAAUUCCAGAUAAGGCUGAAAAAGAUUUUGAGAACAUCCGCAUAUGAGCUUCAUCCCCACUUCCAGCACAGCAAAGGAGCAGCAGAGCUGCAUGGGUGAAAGCAGAGCUGCAGUGUGCAUGUGCAAGAGAACGAGAACUUCCCAUGCACCCUAUCCCAGGGAUGCUUUGAAGCCGCACAGACCAUGAGAUCUGAGGUCCGGACAAGGAGGCAGCCUUGUCCUCAAUAAUGGAUUAAGGAGAAUCAUUAAUUAAUGAUUAAUUAAUCCUCUGUAAUGACAGAGUCCAUGGCCAGGAGCAACAAACAUGGCCAAGGGCAGAAGGAGACCAAUUUCAUCUCCAUCAGAUUCAACAAUAACAGGCAAUGCCUGGAGAUACACAGGGUAAGACAUAUCAGCAAGAGCCAGUGAAGGCCACAGGAUGGCCUGAAGACCAGAAGGGUUUCCGCCCCACCGCCGUGAGAAGACACAGGCUUCCCCCUCCUCUAGCCUCCAUCUUAAAAAAAAAAAAACAAAGGAAGCCGGCUUGAUGGCCAACGCUUGUCAUCCUAGCUACUCAGGAGGCCGAGUUGGGAGGAUCGCUUGAGCCCAGGAGUUCAAGACCAGCGUGGGCAAUAUUGCAAGACCCCAUCUCAAAAAAAUUUAAAAAGUUGGAAAAAAUCAAAGGAGGAGAGUGGAUGGAGAAAACUUUCAAGACUGAGCAUUUAUCAAAGAGAACCUGAGUUUACCUAAAAAACAAUUUGGUUGUUUUUCUUUUUUAACUUUUAAGUUCAGAGAUCCAUGUGCAGUUUUGUUGUACAGGUAAACGUGUCACGGGGGUGUGUUGUACAGAUUAUUUCAUUACCCAGGUGAGUAUUAAGCCUCGUAUCCACUAGUUAUUUUUCCUGAUCCUCUCCCUCCUCCUACCCUUCACCCUCAAGCAGGCCCCCGCGUGUGUUGUUCCCCUUUACGUAUCCAUGUGUUCUCAACAUUUAGCUCCUACUUAUAAGUGAGAACGUGCAGUCUUUGGUUUUCUGUUCCUGUGUAAAAAAGCUUUUAACCAGAAGACACUGAACCACCUUUAACUGACAAGUCCAUGCUUUCCGCAGCCCUUCGCCAUCAGCAGGACGGGGCUUGACAGCAAGGUGAGAUCAGCUCUAAACGAUCCAGGGUGCUGUUCUGCAGGUACUCACCUGAGCUGCAGGGCACAUUUUGGAACCCUCAGCAAACUCGUCUCCUAGGAUUAAUAGAACAUAUGUCAAGUGCUCGGCAGUGUCAAGCCCCACCCAGAGCAGGCACUCCGUGAACAUCAGCUUGUUCUCCUCCUCCAAGGUUGGGAUUUCAUGCAAUACACGUGUUUGGGUGGAAGGCUCUUCCUGACACCCUGUAACUGUACUAUGGUGGAGAAGGCCUGCUCCAUCCAUGCAGUCAUGUACUCAGGCGUGCAUGCAUUCAGCAAACACACUGUGUAUCCAGAUGCCAGGCCAUGUGCUGGCCUCCGGGUAUCCAGGGAUAAAUGAGAAAUAGCUCCUGCCCCACAGAAUUGUGAAGCCACAAUUACAAUCCUGUGUUCCAAAUGCUAUGAUAAAAAUAGUAGCAGACAUUUACUUAUUACUUACUAUGUUCCAGGCACUAUCUUUUCGCUUAACGUUGACAACAGCUCUAUGCGGGAGAGCCAGCUGGGCCCCAAGGUCAUGUGUGAGAUUCUAUGGUAGCACAGUCUAAAUAGAAAGGAGUAAGAGAAGGCUUUCUAGAGUGAGGAAUGACUAAAGCUGAGUUUGGCCAAGGAAAGGGGGAAGCAUACAAGAAUUUGAGCAAAAAGAAGAUACCUUGUAAGAUACAAUAAAUCUUUCUGAGUUUCUCUUCAAAGGAUUUAGCCUGUUAACUUCCUUAUCCCUCGUUCGCAAACUCAACUUUCUUGUUCUUCCUUGCCCCUAGUUAGCAUAAACAGCCUACCCCAUGUCCGUUAGCUCUAAUCAAUAAAUCUGUUCCCUUGGUGACCUCUACCCAUUGUUCCCCCGAAACUGCACAUCUCACACGUUCCACCUCUGUACCUCACGUCCCCCUCCCCUUCUAUAUUUAGGAAAAUAUGUACAAGUAGCCAACUGGGUCAGCUCAGAUUUUGCAGUCUGACCCCAGCCCAUGGGGGAGUGACACAGAGAUAGGGACUGCAUUAAGGAUAAAAACUCCCUGGUCUCCUUUGUUCUCUGUGCUCUUGUGAUUUUUACUGAUGCAAGUGACACCCU